rnacentral:rRNA from 1 species
GGGUUGUGAGGUUAAGCGACUAAGCGUACACGGUGGAUGCCCUGGCAGUCAGAGGCGAUGAAGGGCGUGCUAAUCUGCGAUAAGCGCCGGUAAGGUGAUAUGAACCGUUAUAACCGGCGAUACCCGAAUGGGGAAACCCAGUGUGACUCGUCACACUAUCAUUAACUGAAUCCAUAGGUUAAUGAGGCGAACCGGGGGAACUGAAACAUCUAAGUACCCCGAGGAAAAGAAAUCAACCGAGAUUCCCCCAGUAGCGGCGAG